UCUGCUACUUGAGAUCCUGUUGUUAGAGAUUCUGCUACGUAACACAAAAGUUUUAUUUGCUCACUUCUUUGAACCUGUACCUAUAACAUGAGCACGUUUAAAUCUUUUCACAAUUCAAACAGUGAAAAACAUUUGUUUUUUUACUCUUAAUGCAAUGCCUGCUGCAGGAAAUAGAUGAUAUGUUCAACUGAAACUAUAAAAUCCAUAAUAGUUCUCUCUCUUUUUUUUUUCCCUAUAAUCUUUAAUUUUUCAGCAUUAUGUAUUAUACAUUUUACAAACUCAAAUUUCAUAAAACAUUUAUUGAAUAUAAAAGGACAUAAAAAUUGUGUUAAUUCUUUUUUACUUGAAUGUUAAUUGGUUAUAAUAAUUCCUAGUCCUAAUAUGAUAGUAUCUGAGUUAUUCCAUGGGACUUGAGAAAUCAUGAGUUUAAUAGAAUUAGUAUUAUUGAGCGGGAAAUGAUUGUGUAUGUGUGCAUGCACACUCACACCAUAUUUAUUUUUGGCACAAAGUGCAAAGUUUCUUGUAAGCAAAUGCCCUUGCAAAAAUAAAUAAAAUUAAAGGAAAAAGAGGAGGAUCCAAAAUGAGGUUGAGGAGAAAGAAUUGAGGAGGGUGAAUAAUGGGAAGAGGAGUAUUGGGUAAGCAAUUCUAAGGUUGGUAGUGUGGUCAGAUCCACUAAUGGCAAUGAUUUUUUCAAUGACUUUCUGGAGCAUUGACACUGGAUUCUGGCAGAUCGGUGCUGGGUUUUCCUGUGAGGGUUCUAGAUGAUGUUGGAGGCAGGUGGGGUGUGCCUUGUACCUGAAAGCAGCCGUGCACCUACAGCUUUGUUGCACACAAAGUUUGCACGGGCUCUAGGGCCUGGUGCAUCUUGUGCCCUAAGCAUGCCUUUAACAACUAUGUUUUGACCCUUUUCAUUUUUCAGCCAAACAUUUUAAUUUUUGUAGAUUAAGCCAUGAGUAACUAUUAAUAGUACAUUUUUAGCAAAACCUAAGUUUCCAUUUAGAAAAAUCUCAAGCUAACUAGGAUUUAAAUUCCAAGUUGGACUUUUAAUUUUGUCUAGAGCUUCAAUAUAUGUUUGUCCUUCUGACAAAAUUCAUAUACUUGCAUCAGAGAAUUCUUCAUCAAGACAAACAAAUCUAAUUUCCAAACAUUCCUUCGUAAAGAAAAUUUUCCUAAAAAAAAAAAAGAAAUCUCAUUCUACUGAUAGGAGGGAAAUAGAGAACAUCUCAAAGUGCUGAAAUAGAUAAACAUGCUAAUGAAAUUAAUGUACUGAAUGAUGAAAUUUCAAAUGUUUGGUAACUGCAGAAAUUUGAGCUUAAGCGUAGGCCUUUUCUUCUUCAGCUGAUGGGAAACUUGCCGGAAGAGGUGCUGGAGAGGUCGAGUUUGGCAGCAAAACUAAACGGUUAUGCAGCAGAGCUCUGUCCUCCGAAGAUUCAAAACCAAAUAGGUGCGAAGAUCAAUGAGAUAGUUAGGAAAGGGUGGCCAGUUUUGAUAGGUGUUUAGAGUAGAAUUUAUAGGCUUAAAUGCACCCCUUACAUGUUAAUGUUUAUAUCAAGUUGUUGAGGAUUGCAGGUUAUGGCUCGUAGAAGCGGACAGAUUUUGGGUACCGUUCAACAAGUACAUGAUUCUUUUGUCGUUGGAAUAGUCUUGAGCAUAUCCUUGUCGUUUAGAAAGAAUUUAUAUAUUAUUUGUUAGUAGUACUGAUUUUAUUUGUUCAUAUCUAUAGGUGCUGUUUACCUGAAAUAAUUUGAUAAUCCGAUGCAGUGAAACUGAAACAUCAUAAAUAUAACAAAUGAAGAAUGAAUAUUCUAGUUACGGGGCCAGAGUACAGCCCACAUGGAGGGCCAGGUUCAUUUGAUUAUAAAAUUUGAAGGUUCAAAAAUGAAUCAAUAAUAUUUAAUAAAUGAAUCCAGAAUGUGA
rnacentral:misc_RNA from 1 species